CUGCACUUUGCUUUUUCUUUCUCUGCAACAGCCAGUGCUGCUUCCUCUGCUAGUCGUGCCUCUUCUAAUUUUUGUUCUUCUUCUACUUUCCACCGGUGAAGUUCCAUUGCCUGCAUGAAAAAAAUUAGGCUACAUUCCAGUUCACAAGAGAAGAUACUCCUGUAGUUGAUGUUGAAAUGCAUACCAUGUUGCUGGGUGAAGACCAUGAUCCAUUGCCACUAUCAAAAGAAUUUGAUGAGAAGCCAUUAGCUUCAGAUAACCUGGUUGCUGAGAAUGAUGAUCCAAAGCUUAAUCUGCUCUCUGUUUCUGAGCUGUUUGAAAGUCGCGGAGCAGAAUAUUUAGCAUCUGUGUCUGAGCUGUUUGAAAGCCGAGGGGGAAGACCCAAAUCGUGACUGCUGUCCAUAGAGAUUGGAAAUGUAGAGCUUGGACGACCAGAGCUCACAAAUGAUAAAUCAGAUUCUGCCACUGAGAGGUCUCCAUAUGAUCUGUUUAUCCCUUUACCUCUGUUGAAUGGGGACCUGUUGAAAGAGAUAAAUAUAAAUUGAGUCGUGUUAUGUUAAUCAACCAUUUGGAGUAGUACAUUUUGCACUUCCUCUUAUAUAUUGCAUGAGGUACUGUCUGCUUCCUGAUUCUCUGAAAAACUUACUUGAUGCUAUCUAAAUCGUCAGCUGAGCUUCGUGAUGCGUAUGGUGACCUAAUAUCAGUUACACUUCCUGUUGAAAUAGGACAGGUUAAACCUGUUCUAACAGUGUUCAAUUGCUUUAUGACAGAAAUUAACGCAAUAUGCUGCAGGUGGAAAAACAGACCUUUUGUGUCGCUGCUGAUUUGUGCAUAACGUGUAUCAGCGAAGCCAAGCUUAGCACCUAGAGAUGAGGUGGAAUGAUUCUGCUGCACGGGAGUUGGUGAACUGGGAACUGGAGAAGAUGCAUUCUUUGUCGAUUGAACUUUGCCUUUGGCAAUCACAUAAACUGUGCAAAAGCCAGCGCCCACCACCAGAUUCUCUAUGACAUUGGCUGUAACAUAGUCACUUAUGGAGGUCGCUAUGUCUAUGCCUUCAAUUACAACUUCAUUGACUUGAAUCUACGACAAAGAGAGAUAAGAUGAUUCAGAAAAUGAAACGACAUCUGCAAGAACACGAGGAAGAUUGAACGUGUAAGCAGCAACGUGCACUUACAUUCUUACGGUUGCAGAAGCAUCGGAA